rnacentral:rRNA from 1 species
CUCAAAGGAAUGACGGGGGCCCGCACAAGCGGAGGAACAUGUGGUUUAAUUCGAUGAUACGCGAGGAACCUUACCCGGGCUUGAAUUGCAGACUAAUGCGGCGGAGACGCCGCAGUCCUUCGGGAAGUCUGUGAAGGUGCUGCAUGGUUGUCGUCAGCUCGUGCCGUGAGGUGUCGGCUCAAGUGCCAUAACGAGCGCAACCCCUGUCUCCUGUUGCCAUCAGGUAAAGCUGGGCACACUGGAGAGACUGCCGCCGUAAGGUGCGAGGAAGGUGGGGAUGACGUCAAAUCAGCACGGCCCUUACGUCCGGGGCUACACACGUGUUACAAUGGCCGGUACAGAAGGAUGGUGCCCCGCAAGGUGCAUCGAACCUGAAAAACCGGUCCCAGUUCGGACUGGGGUCUGCAACCCGACCCCACGAAGCUGGAUUCGCUAGUAAUCGCGCAUCAGCCAUGACGCGGUGAAUACGUUCCCGGGCCUUGUACACACCGCCCGUCAAGCCAUGAAAGCCGGGAGUGCCUGAAGUCCGUGACCUAAGAGGAUCGGCCUAGGGCAAAAUCGGUAAUUGGGGCUAAGUCGUA